rnacentral:rRNA from 1 species
AUUGAACGCUGGCGGAAUGCUUUACACAUGCAAGUCGAGCGGCAGCGCGGGGCAACCUGGCGGCGAGCGGCGAACGGGUGAGUAAUGCAUCGGAACAUGUCCAUGUCGUGGGGGAUAGCCCGGCGAAAGCCGGAUUAAUACCGCAUACGCUCGAGAGAGGAAAGCCGGGGAACGCAAGGCCUGGCGCGAUUGGGUUGGCCGAUGUCCGAUUAGCUAGUUGGUGAGGUAAAGGCUUACCAAGGCGAUGAUCGGUAGCUGGUCGGAGAGGAUGAUCAGCCACACUGGGACUGAGACACGGCCCAGACUCCUACGGGAGGCAGCAGUGGGGAAUUUUGGACAAUGGGGGCAACCCUGAUCCAGCCAUUCCGCGUGAGUGAAGAAGGCCUUCGGGUUGUAAAGCUCUUUUGUCCGGAGCGAAACGGUUGUGGUGAAUAUCCACGACUACCGACGGUACCGGAAGAAUAAGCACCGGCUAACUACGUGCCAGCAGCCGCGGUAACAC